rnacentral:misc_RNA from 1 species
UUUCCGUAGGUGAACCUGCGGAAGGAUCAUUAAUGAGAACUAAGGGUAGUAGUCUCGGCUACUACUCUGAACACUCCACCCUUUGUUUAUAUUACCUUUGUUGCUUUAGCAGGCCCGCCCUCGAGCCGCCGGCACCUGCUGGCUAGUGCCUGCUAAAGAACCUAAAACUCUUGUUAAUAAUAUUGUCUGAGUACUAUAUAAUAGUUAAAACUUUCAACAACGGAUCUCUUGGUUCUG